GAUGAACGCUGGCGGCGUGCCUAAUACAUGCAAGUCGAGCGAAGCGGGGACGGGUGAGGAACACGAAGAUAACCUACUUUAAGACUGGGAUAACGUCGGGAAACCGAAGAUAAAUCGGAGACUUAGUGAGGGAACCGGGAUGGAUUAGCUAGUUGGUAAGGUGACGGCUUACCAGGACUACGAUGCAUAGCCGACCUGUGAGGGUAAUCGGCCACACUGGAACUGAGACACGGUGCAGACUCCGACGGGAGGCAGCAGUAGGGAAUCUUCCGCAAUGGGCGAAAGCCUGACGCAGCCACGCCGCGUGUGUGAUGAAGGUCUUCGGAUCGUAAAACUCUGUUAUUAGGGAAGCGGUACCUAAUCAGUAAGCCCCGGCUAACUCCGUGCCAGCAGCCGCGGUAAUUC
rnacentral:rRNA from 1 species